AGCGGAGGAAAAGAAACUAACAAGGAUUCCCCUAGUAACUGCGAGUGAAGCGGGAAAAGCUCAAAUUUAAAAUCUGGCAGUUUCACUGUCCGAGUUGUAAUCUGGAGAAGCAUUUUCUGUGUCAGACCGUGUACAAGUCUCUUGGAAUAGAGCGUCAUAGAGGGUGAGAAUCCCGUCCAUGACACGGACCGCUGAUACUUUGUGAUAUGCUCUCGAAGAGUCGAGUUGUUUGGGAAUGCAGCUCAAAAUGGGUGGUAAAUUCCAUCUAAAGCUAAAUAUUGGCGAGAGACCGAUAGCGAACAAGUACCGUGAGGGAAAGAUGAAAAGCACUUUGGAAAGAGAGUUAAACAGUACGUGAAAUUGUUGAAAGGGAAACGCUUGAAGUCAGUCGCGUUGCUUGGGACUCAGCCUUGCUUUGCAUGGUGUACUUCCCAUUCAACGGGUCAACGUCAAUUUUGGUUGGUGGAUAAAGACUUAGGGAAUGUGGCAUCUUCGGGUGUGUUAUAGCCCUUUGUUGCAUACACUGACUGGGAUUGAGGACUGCAGCACGCCACUAUGGCCGGGGGUUUACCUCACGUAACGUGCUUAGGAUGUUGGCAUAAUGGCUUUAAGCGACCCGUCUUGAAACACGGACCA
rnacentral:rRNA from 1 species